CAGUCGCCGCGGUAAUACGUAGGGUGCGAGCGUUGUCCGGAAUUAUUGGGCGUAAAGAGCUCGUAGGCGGCUUGUCGCGUCGAAUGUGAAAGCCCGGGGCUUAACUCCGGGUCUGCAUUCGAUACGGGCAGGCUAGAGUGUGGUAGGGGAGAUCGGAAUUCCUGGUGUAGCGGUGAAAUGCGCAGAUAUCAGGAGGAACACCGGUGGCGAAGGCGGAUCUCUGGGCCAUUACUGACGCUGAGGAGCGAAAGCGUGGGGAGCGAACAGGAUUAGAUACCCGAGUAGUCCCUGUCUCUUAUAC
rnacentral:rRNA from 1 species